CAGUAGCCGCGGUAAUACGUAGGGUGCGAGCGUUAAUCGGAAUUACUGGGCGUAAAGCGUGCGCAGGCGGUUGUGUAAGACAGGUGUGAAAUCCCCGGGCUUAACCUGGGAACUGCGCUUGUGACUGCACAGCUAGAGUAUGGCAGAGGGGGGUGGAAUUCCACGUGUAGCAGUGAAAUGCGUAGAGAUGUGGAGGAACACCGAUGGCGAAGGCAGCCCCCUGGGCCAAUACUGACGCUCAUGCACGAUAGCGUGGGGAGCAAACAGGAUUAGAUACCCCAGUAGUCCCUGUCUCUUAUAC
rnacentral:rRNA from 1 species